rnacentral:rRNA from 1 species
UACGUAGGGUGCAAGCGUUGUCCGGAAUUAUUGGGCGUAAAGAGCUCGUAGGCGGUUUGUCGCGUCGAAUGUGAAAACCCGGGGCUCAACCCCGGGCCUGCAUUCGAUACGGGCAGGCUGGAGUUCGGUAGGGGAGACUGGAAUUCCUGGUGUAGCGGUGAAAUGCGCAGAUAUCAGGAGGAACACCGAUGGCGAAGGCAGGUCUCUGGGCCGAUACUGACGCUGAGGAGCGAAAGCGUGGGGAGCGAACAGG